UGCUCCGCGUCUUCUGCGGGCGGGCUUCCGGUCCGUUUGGAGCUCACUUUGCUGUGUGGGAGGCGUCGGCCUUAUUUCAUCUUCUCCAAGACGCUGUCCGCUUAGUAAAGGGCCACCGUCGCCUCACAGACGUGAGGUCACACGCCGAACGUGCACGUUUCAAGUUAGGGCAGCUGUGAAUACAGCUGACCUCUGCGCGCGGCCGAGGCCCGCGGUUCCAGCCCCUCCGCGGAAAGCCCGGGGGCGGGGCUACCGCCCAGGAGAGGGUGUUUAGUUCGGCCGGACGCCGCCGCCUGCCCUCCGACGUGGCCGCACCGGCUGGCGCCCCCCCGCCACGGGCCCUCUGACGGUGUGUGCUGGCCCUUGUUACAACGUGCGCUCGUCGGUGUGCGUGAAGUGGUGCGCACCUGCCGUCUGCACGGCGCUGGGGUCCGUUAACGUUCAGCCUGUUUUCCAGUUGGGUUGUUUCCUUACUGUCGAGUUUUAAGGGUUCUCUGUGUGAUGUGGGUAACAGCCCUUUAUCAGGUGCGGCCUUUGCACGGGUGUUCUCCCAGCCUGUGUGUCUCCUCAUGUCCUUGACGUCGUCCAUCACGGAGCAGAGAGUUUUAAUGUCACCCAGGUCCAGCUACCAGUCCUGUCUUUCAUGGAUCAGCCCAUUGUAGCUGAAAACUCGUCCCCACAGUCAAGGUCAUCUAGGUUUUCUCCUGCGUUACCUUCCAGGAAUUUUAUGUUUUGCGUUUACAUUUAGAUUCCACUUGUUCACUGGCAGUAUGUGGACAGCUGUUGGCUUUUGUAUAUCAACCAUGUUUCCUGCAACCUUACUGUAACUGCUUAGUUCCAGAAGUCUCCUCGUCAGUUCUUUUAGACCUUCUACUUAGGUGAUUAUGUCAUCUGUGAACAAAGAUAGUUUUAUUUCUUCCAUACC